rnacentral:rRNA from 1 species
UACGGGGGGGGCAAGCGUUGUUCGGGAUUACUGGGCGUAAAGGGCGCGUAGGCGGCCCGCUAAGUCGAACGUGAAAUCCCCGAGCUCAACUCGGGAACUGCGUCCGAUACUGGCGGGCUUGAAUCCGGGAGAGGGAUGCGGAAUUCCAGGUGUAGCGGUGAAAUGCGUAGAUAUCUGGAGGAACACCGGUGGCAAAGGCGGCAUCCUGGACCGGCAUUGACGCUGAGGCGCGAAAGCUAGGGGAGCAAACGGG